AGGCGAUGCUAAACUGGACAUUGGCAGAGCUCGCAGCUCCGUAUAAAAACAUCAGCGAUAAUCAGCAGAUGGAUCAGAUGAUGUUUGAUCCUACAGAUGUUAACUCCUGGUUUACGCACGUCGUUGUUCCAGUACUGAACAGAUACCUCCCCAGUGACAUACCAGAUGACCUCACUGCUGUCUUUCAUAAUGUGUUUUAUAUGGAGAAUUCAGUGAACAAUACUCUGGACACUUGCAGUGUCACUCUGGAUGACGCGUGUGCUGUGACUAAUGUGAUGGAGAAUGUGGCAAAAAUCCUGCAGUGUGUGGAGAGCACUAAUCUGAUGCUCACAGGGGAAACAGUCAACAGUCUCGUACUGCACCUCUCCAGCAACCUCAACACACUUCUGAACCAGCUUGCCCACACAGUGCGUACACUGUAACACCACUGACACACCACUGAAACUCUACUGACACACCACUGAAACUCUACUGACACACCACUGAAACUCUACUGACACACCACUGAAACUCUACUGACACACCACUGUAACUCUACUGACACACCACUGUAACAUUACUGACACACCACUGUAACUCUACUGACACACCACUGUAACAUUACUGACACACCACUGAAACUCUACUGACACACCACGGUAACUCUACUGACACACCACUGUAACAUUACUGACACACCACUGUAACUCUACUGACACACCACUGUAACAUUACCGACACACCACUGUAACACUACUGACACACCACUGAAACUCUACUGACACACCACUGUAACUCUACUGACACACCACUGUAACAUCUACU
ensembl:lncRNA